GGAAGUGGAAGCGGGCAAAAGCUCAAAUUUGAAAUCUGGCGCCUUCGGUGUCCGAGUUGUAAUUUGAAGAUUGUAACCUUGGGGUUGGCUCUUGUCUAUGUUUCUUGGAACAGGACGUCACAGAGGGUGAGAAUCCCGUGCGAUGAGAUGCCCAAUUCUAUGUAAGGUGCUUUCGAAGAGUCGAGUUGUUUGGGAAUGCAGCUCUAAGUGGGUGGUAAAUUCCAUCUAAAGCUAAAUAUUGGCGAGAGACCGAUAGCGAACAAGUACAGUGAUGGAAAGAUGAAAAGAACUUUGAAAAGAGAGUGAAAAAGUACGUGAAAUUGUUGAAAGGGAAGGGUUUGAGAUCAGACUCGAUAUUUUGUGAGCCUUGCCUUCGUGGCGGGGUGACCCGCAGCUUAUCGGGCCAGCAUCGGUUUGGGCGGUAGGAUAAUGGCGUAGGAAUGUGACUUUACUUCGGUGAAGUGUUAUAGCCUGCGUUGAUGCUGCCUGCCUAGACCGAGGACUGCGAUUUUAUCAAGGAUGCUGGCAUAAUGAUCCCAAACCGCCCGUCUUGAUCAGGGAACCAAAGUA
rnacentral:rRNA from 1 species